UGCAAGUCGACGGUAACAGGAAGAAGCUUGCUUCUUUGCUGACGAGUGGCGGACGGGUGAGUAAUGUCUGGGAAACUGCCUGAUGGAGGGGGAUAACUACUGGAAACGGUAGCUAAUACCGCAUAACGUCGCAAGACCAAAGAGGGGGACCUUCGGGCCUCUUGCCAUCGGAUGUGCCCAGAUGGGAUUAGCUAGUAGGUGGGGUAACGGCUCACCUAGGCGACGAUCCCUAGCUGGUCUGAGAGGAUGACCAGCCACACUGGAACUGAGACACGGUCCAGACUCCUACGGGAGGCAGCAGUGGGGAAUAUUGCACAAUGGGCGCAAGCCUGAUGCAGCCAUGCCGCGUGUAUGAAGAAGGCCUUCGGGUUGUAAAGUACUUCAGCGGGGAGGAGGGAGUAAAGUAAU
rnacentral:rRNA from 1 species